rnacentral:tRNA from 11 species
GGGCGUGUAGCUCAGUUGGGAGAGCGCUAGAAUCGCACUCUAGAGGCCAGGGGUUCGAAUCCCCUCACGUCCACCA